CCCUUAGAUGUUCUGGGCCGCACGCGCGCUACACUGAUGCAUUCAACGAGUUUCUUCCUGGUCCGAGAGGAAUGGGUAACCUUUUGAAAGUGCAUCGUGAUAGGGAUAGACUAUUGCAAUUAUUGGUCUUCAACGAGGAAUUUCUAGUAGACGUAGUUCAUCAGACUGCAUCGAUUACGUCCCUGCCCUUUGUACACACCGCCCGUCGCUCCUACCGAUUGAAUGCUCAGGUGAGCCAUUCGGACUUUCAUCAUGCUGGUUUCCAGUUUUGAUGAAGGAAAGUCUUGCGAACCUUAUCAUUUAGAGGAAGGAGAAGUCGUAACA
rnacentral:rRNA from 1 species